AACUGUAUAUUAGCCCAACCAACAUAAACCCAAAUUAUACUAUAAAAAUAAAAUAAAGCAUUCUCCAAUCCAAAGUAUAGGCGAUAGAAAUUUAUACCAAGAUGAGCUAUAGAGACAGUACCGCAAGGGAAAAACUGAAAGAACAAAUACCAGUACAACAAAGCAAAGAUAAAACCUUUUACCUUUUGCAUAAUGAACUAACUAGAAAUGAACUGACAAAGAGACCUUUAGCCACCUACCCCGAAACCAAGCGAGCUACCCUAGAGCAAUUUUCAGAAUCAACUCCUCUAUGUAGCAAAAUAGUGAGAAGACUCUAAGGUAGAGGUGAAAAGCCUACCGAGCCUGGUGAUAGCUGGUUGCCCAAAAAAGAAUCUUAGUUCUACCUAAAACCUACCUAAACUCAUUAAAACAAUAAUGUAGUUUUUAGUUGUAAUUGAAAGAGGGACAGCUCUUUCAACCCAGGAUUCAACCUCCAAUAGUGAGUAAAAACACCUACAUUCCAUAGUUGGCCUAAGAGCAGCCACCAAUUAAGACAGCGUUAAAGCUCAACAAGUCUAACAUCUUAAUCCCAUAAACCACACUAAACUCCUAUUACACUAUUGGGCCAAUCUACACCCAUGUAGAAGAGAUACUGUUAAUAUGAGUAACAAGAAUAAAAUUCUCCAUGCACAAGCUUAUAUCAGAACGAAUGAUCACUGAUAGUUAACGACCUAAUAAACAAAACUACUAUUUAAAGGCAUUAUUACACCAAUCGUUAAUCCAACACAGGCGUGCAUUAAGGAAAGAUUAAACAAAGCAAAAGGAACUCGGCAAACCCUAAUCCCGCCUGUUUACCAAAAACAUCACCUCUAGCAUUACCAGUAUUAGAGGCACUGCCUGCCCAGUGACUUACGUUUAACGGCCGCGGUACUCUGACCGUGCAAAGGUAGCAUAAUCAUUUGUUCUCUAAAUAAGGACUUGUAUGAACGGCCACACGAGGAUUAAACUGUCUCUUGCUUUUUAUCAGUGAAAUUGACCUUCCCGUGAAGAGGCGGGAAUAACAUCAUAAGACGAGAAGACCCUGUGGAGCUUUAAUUAAUACCCCACUGUACUAAUAACCAACCCAAAGGCCUAACAAAUCACAUUAUGGGUAAAAAUUUUGGUUGGGGUGACCUCGGAGCACAAACAAACCUCCGAAAGAUAUUAUACCUAGACAUACCAGUCAAAGUUUAAAUCAACAUUGACCCAAUAAUUUGAUCAACGGACCAAGUUACCCCAGGGAUAACAGCGCAAUCCUAUCUAAGAGUCCAUAUCGACGAUAGGGUUUACGACCUCGAUGUUGGAUCAAGACACCCAGGUGGUGCAGCAGCUAUCAAAGGUUCGUUUGUUCAACGAUUAAAGUCUUACGUGAUCUGAGUUCAGACCGGAGUAAUCCAGGUCGGUUUCUAUCUAUGUCAGUAUUUCUCCCAGUACGAAAGGAUCAGAGAAAUAAGGCCAACUUUCACACAAGCGCCUUAACAUAAAUAAUGAUUUCAUCUCAAUUACACUACUAACAACCAACCCAAGAGCAGGGAUC
rnacentral:rRNA from 1 species